rnacentral:rRNA from 1 species
UACGAAGGGGGCUAGCGUUGCUCGGAAUCACUGGGCGUAAAGCGCACGUAGGCGGAUCUUUAAGUCAGGGGUGAAAUCCCAAGGCUCAACCUUGGAACUGCCUUUGAUACUGGGGAUCUCGAGUCCGGGAGAGGUGAGUAGGAACUGCGAGUGUAGAGGUGAAAUUCGUAGAUAUUCGCAAGAACACCAGUGGCGAAGGCGGCUCACUGGCCCGGUACUGACGCUGAGGUGCGGAAAG